GGCCAAUAUUUUUUAUCGCUAUUAAAUUCAUACCUUUUCAGUAUGUGGAUGUGUCCAUGUAUAUAUUAAAUGUGUUUGUGCAAUGUGU